AUUGAACGCUGGCGGCAGGCCUAACACAUGCUAGUCGAGCUGGUGAUGGGAGCUGGCUCCUGAAUUCAGCUACGGACGGGUGUGUAAUGCUUAGGAAUCUGCCUGGUAUUGGGGGAUAACGUCCGGAAAUGGGCGCUAAUACCGCAUACGUUCUGAUGGAGAGAGUGGCGAAGCUUCGGUGCUCACGCUAUGAGAUGACCCUAGGUCUCAUUAGCGAGGUGGUGGGGUAAAGGCCUACCAAGCCGACGAUCCGUAAUUGGUCUGCGAGGAUGAUCAGCAACACUGGCACAGAGAGACAGUACAGACUCCUAAGGGAGGAAACAGUGGGGAAUAUUCGACAAUGGACGAAAGCCUGCUCCAGCCAUGCCGAGUGUGUGAAGAAGGUCUUCGGAUUCUAGAGCACUUUAAAUUGGGAGAAAGCGACGUAAGUUACUAGCUUGCUGUUUUGAAGUUAAAAACAGAAGCAGCACACGCUAGCUUCGAG
rnacentral:rRNA from 1 species